rnacentral:lncRNA from 11 species
GGUGCCAGGAGAGGAGGAGGAGGAGGAGGAGGAGGAGGAAGAGGAGGAGGGCGGAGCCUCACGGAGACCCCUCCCCUGUGAGCCCGGCCUCAGGCAGCUAGGAAACCGGGGGCGGCUUGGAGGAGGAGGAGGAUGCUGCUGCUGCUUCUGCGGCGGAGCUGGAGAUGGCUGGAGAAGGCGAGGAGGCGGCGCCGGUGCGGCAGCUGCUGAAUAAUUGAGGAGCGGGCGUUGCAGGCGAGGAAGGAGCCCCCCAGGAAGGAGAAGGAGAGGAAGAAGAGGAGGAGGAGGAAGAGCCCAUGGUCGCAGCCGGAGGGUCGAGGCCGCCCGGCCGGCGCCUGCCGCAAACGCCGACCCGCUCUGCCUUGCAAGGGCUGUGACCACCAAGACCCCCUCUCCCACCCUCCCCGCUCCAUCCCAGCACCAUGGCUUUGGUGGUCCACCUCAAGAGCGCCACCGACCUGCGCGGGAGAGGCGACCGCAUCGCCAAAGUGGCCUUCCGAGGUCUCUCCUUCUACACCCGAGUGCUUGAGAACUGCGAGAAUGAAGCUCCAUUCGAUGAGACUUUCCGGUGGCCCAUUGCGAGCAGUAUCGACGUCAACGAGAUGCUGGAAAUCCAGGUCUUCAACUACAGCAAGGUGUUCUCCAACAGGUGAGUGACAGGGAAGUGUCCAAAAAUGCCACACAUUUUCUUCUUAGCAACUGUUCCA